GGGGAUAUGGCGAAAUCGGUAGACGCUACGGACU
rnacentral:tRNA from 1 species